rnacentral:rRNA from 1 species
CUAGCUUCAGCGAUGGAUCGGUCGAUUCGCGUAUCNAUGAAAAACGCAGCUAGCUGCGUUAUUUACCACGAAUUGCA